AGAGUUUGAUCCUGGCUCAGAAUCAACGCUGGCGGCGUGCCUCAGACAUGCAAGUCGAACGAUUAAACUUUCCUUCGGGAAAGAUAUAAAGUGGCGCACGGGUGAGUAACACGUAAGUAAUCUACCUUCGAGUGGGGAAUAACAUCGGGAAACCGAUGCUAAUACCGCAUAACGCAGCGGCAUCGCAAGAUGACAGUUGUUAAAGGAGCAAUCCGCUUGAAGAGGAGCUUGCGGCAGAUUAGCUAGUUGGUAAGGUAAUGGCUUACCAAGGCUUCGAUCUGUAUCCGGUCUAAGAGGACGGUCGGACACACUGACACUGAAUAACGGGUCAGACUCCUACGGGAGGCAGCAGUCGGGAAUUUUGGGCAAUGGGCGAAAGCCUGACCCAGCAACGCCGCGUGAAGGAUGAAGUAUUUCGGUAUGUAAACUUCGAAAGAAUGGGAAGAAUCAAUGACGUACCAUUAUA
rnacentral:rRNA from 1 species